GACAGAGGGGGCAAGCGUUGCUCGGAAUCACUGGGCGUAAAGGGCGCGUAGGCGGGAUGGCAAGUCAGUCGUGAAAUCUCUCGGCUCAACCGAGAAACGUCGGCUGAUACUGCCGUUCUUGAGGGAUGCAGAGGAGACUGGAAUUCCCGGUGUAGCGGUGAAAUGCGUAGAUAUCGAGAGGAACACCAGUGGCGAAGGCGAGUCUCUGGACAUUUCCUGACGCUGAGGCACGAAAGCCAGGGGAGCAAACGGG
rnacentral:rRNA from 1 species